UGGGGAAUUUUGGACAAUGGGCGAAAGCCUGAUCCAGCAAUGCCGCGUGUGUGAAGAAGGCCUUCGGGUUGUAAAGCACUUUUGUCCGGAAAGAAAUCCUUGGCUCUAAUACAGUCGGGGGAUGACGGUACCGGAAGAAUAAGCACCGGCUAACUACGUGCCAGCAGCCGCGGUAAUACGUAGGGUGCAAGCGUUAAUCGGAAUUACUGGGCGUAAAGCGUGCGCAGGCGGUUUGCUAAGACCGAUGUGAAAUCCCCGGGCUCAACCUGGGAACUGCAUUGGUGACUGGCAGGCUAGAGUAUGGCAGAGGGGGGUAGAAUUCCACGUGUAGCAGUGAAAUGCGUAGAGAUGUGGAGGAAUACCGAUGGCGAAGGCAGCCCCCUGGGCCAAUACUGACGCUCAUGCACGAAAGCGUGGGGAGCAAACAGGAUUAGAUACCCUGGUAGUCCACGCCCUAAACGAUGUCAACUAGUUNUUGGGGAUUCAUUUCCUUAGUAACGUAGCUAACGCGUGAAGUUGACCGCCUGGGGAGUACGGUCGCAAGAUU
rnacentral:rRNA from 1 species